rnacentral:rRNA from 1 species
UACAGAGGGUGCAAGCGUUAAUCGGAUUUACUGGGCGUAAAGGGCGCGUAGGUGGUUGUUUAAGUGAGAUGUGAAAGCCCCGGGCUCAACCUGGGAACUGCAUCUUAUACUGGGCAACUGGAGUACAUGAGAGGGUAGUGGAAUUUCCGGUGUAGCGGUGAAAUGCGUAGAUAUCGGAAGGAACACCAGUGGCGAAGGCGGCUACCUGGCAUGAUACUGACACUGAGGCGCGAGAGCGUAGGGAGCAAACAGG